GAUGAACGCUGGCGGCGUGCCUAAUACAUGCAAGUCGAGCGGAUGGAUUAAGAGCUUGCUCUUAUGAAGUUAGCGGCGGACGGGUGAGUAACACGUGGGUAACCUGCCCAUAAGACUGGGAUAACUCCGGGAAACCGGGGCUAAUACCGGAUAACAUUUUGAACCGCAUGGUUCGAAAUUGAAAGGCGGCUUCGGCUGUAACUUAUGGAUGGACCCGCGUCGCAUUAGCCAGUUGGUGAGGUAACGGCUCACCAAGGCAACGAUGCGUAGCCGACCUGAGAGGGUGAUCGGCCACACUGGGACUGAGACACGGCCCAGACUCCUACGGGAGGCAGCAGUAGGGAAUCUUCCGCAAUGGACGAAAGUCUGACGGAGCAACGCCGCGUGAGUGAUGAAGGCUUUCGGGUCGUAAAACUCUGUUGUUAGGGAAGAACAAGUGCUAGUUGAAUAAGCUGGCACCUUGACGGUACCUAACCAGAAAGCCACGGCUAACUACGUGCCAGCCGCGGCCGUAA
rnacentral:rRNA from 1 species